CCUACGGGUGGCUGCAGUCGAGAAUCUUCCACAAUGGACGAAAGUCUGAUGGAGCGACGCCGCGUGAUCGAUGAAGUGCUUCGGUAUGUAAAGAUCUUUUAUGAGGGAAGCGGUACCUCAUGAAUAAGGGCCUGCAAAACUCGUGCCAGCAGCAGCGGUAAUACGAGUGGCCCAAGCGUUAUCCGGAAUUAUUGGGCGUAAAGGAUGUGUAGGUGGUUGUAUUAGUCGAAUGUCGAACCUCUGGGCUUAACCCGGAGACAGCAUUCGAAACGGUACGGCUAGAGUAUGUUAGGGGUAAGCGGAACUAAUAGUGUAGGGGUGAAAUCCGUUGAUAUUAUUGGGAACACCAAAAGCGAAGGCAGCUUACUGGAACAUACUGACACUGAAACAUGAAAGCGUGGGUAGCGAAUGGGAUUAGAUACCCCAGUAGUC
rnacentral:rRNA from 1 species